GCUGGGCAUGGUGGCAAGUGCCUGUGGUCCCAGCUACUCGGGAGGCUGAGGCAGGAUUGCUUGAGUCCAGGAGUUCCGGGCUGUAAUGCGCUAUCCUGAUUGGGUAUCCGCACUAAGUUUGGCAUCAGUAUGGUGACCUCCCAGGAGCUGGGGACCACCAGGUUGCCUAAGGAAGGGUAAACCAAGACGGAAAUGGAGCAGGUCAAAACUUCCAUGCUCAUCAGUAGCGGGAUCACGCCGCUGAAUAUCCACUGCACUCCGGCCUAGGCAACAUAGCGAGACCCCGUCUCUA
rfam:Chlorocebus sabaeus isolate 1994-021 chromosome 16, whole genome shotgun sequence.